UCGAUUCAUCAAGAGCUAGGUUCUUGAUUGUAGAAUUUGUGUUGUUUCGUGUUGUAUCGUUGUUGGUUGUUGAUGAAUCUUCAUGAUCAUGAAUAUCCAUGAUCGAAGAUGUGUAUAAAGCUCAAGAAUGAGUGAUAAUGAAGAAGGUACAACUACUAUUAUAAAUUUAAUUGUUGAUCAUAAUAACUUUUUGAUAUUUGCUCCUAAGUUUAAUAAAAAUACUAUGCAUAUUCAAGCAAGCAAGAACUCCUAUAAUACGUUUAUUAAUUAUUUAAUAAAUAAUCUUGUUGAAGUUUAUUUAUUAUAGAUUUAGAUGUUUUGAUCUCCUAACUUCUUUUUUAUCUUUUGGUUAGAUUUUUUUUAAUGUCUUUUAAUUUUUAUUUGUCUCUUUGACAUAGAUUUGAAUUGAUUUUAAU
rnacentral:lncRNA from 1 species